rnacentral:rRNA from 1 species
UUAGCUUGCUAAGACUGAUGGCGACCGGCGCACGGGUGAGUAACACGUAUCCAACCUGCCGUCUACUCUUGGGACUAGCCUUUCUAGAAAGGAAGAUUAAUACAAGAUGGCAUCAUGAGUCCGCAUGUUCACAUGAUUAAAGGUAUUCCGGUAGACGAUGGGGAGUGCGUUCCAUUAGAUAGUAGGCGGGGUAACGGCCCACCUAGUCUUCGAUGGAUAGGGGUUCUGAGAGGAAGGUCCCCCACAUUGGAACUGAGACACGGUCCAAACUCC